UACGGAGGGUGCAAGCGUUGUUCGGAUUUACUGGGCGUAAAGGGCGCGUAGGCGGCAAUUCAAGUCAUCUGUGAAAUCUCCGGGCUUAACUCGGAACGGUCAGAUGAUACUGCUUUGCUCGAGUGCGGAAGGGGCAAUCGGAAUUCUUGGUGUAGCGGUGAAAUGCGUAGAUAUCAAGAGGAACACCUGAGGUGAAGACGGGUUGCUGGGCCGACACUGACGCUGAAGCGCGAAAGCCAGGGGAGCAAACGGG
rnacentral:rRNA from 1 species